ACCGCUUUGAUGAUUAUAGCUGGCCCUGGAAGUGGAAAGACAUCGACAAUGGUUGGUCGAGUUUUGAUGCUGCUUAAUGAGGGCAUUAGUCCAUUGAACUUUUCAUUCAU